rnacentral:rRNA from 1 species
AACGAACGCUGGCGGCAUGCCUAACACAUGCAAGUCGAACGAGACCUUCGGGUCUAGUGGCGCACGGGUGCGUAACGCGUGGGAACCUGCCCUUAGGUUCGGAAUAACUCCCCGAAAGGGGUGCUAAUACCGGAUAAUGUCUUCGGACCAAAGAUUUAUCGCCUUUGGAUGGGCCCGCGUUGGAUUAGCUAGUUGGUAGGGUAAAAGCCUACCAAGGCGACGAUCCAUAGCUGGUCUGAGAGGAUGAUCAGCCACACUGGGACUGAGACACGGCCCAGACUCCUACGGGAGGCAGCAGUGGGGAAUAUGGGACAAUGGGCGAAAGCCUGAUCCAGCAAUGCCGCGUGAGUGAUGAAGGCCUUAGGGUUGUAAAGCUCUUUUACCCGGGAUGAUAAUGACAGUACCGGGAGAAUAAGCUCCGGCGAACUCCGU